UACGGGGGGAGCAAGCGUUGUUCGGAUUUACUGGGCGUAAAGGGCGCGUAGGCGGUCAGCACAAGUCAGUUGUGAAAUCUCCGGGCUUAACUCGGAAAGGUCAACUGAUACUGUGCGACUAGAGUGCAGAAGGGGCAACUGGAAUUCUCGGUGUAGCGGUGAAAUGCGUAGAUAUCAGCAGGAACACCCGUGGCGAAGGCGGCUUCCUGGAUCACCCCUGACGCUGAGACGCGAAAGCGUGGGGAGCGAACGGG
rnacentral:rRNA from 1 species